rnacentral:rRNA from 1 species
AGCAGUCGCCGCGGGAAUACAGAGGGUGCGAGCGUUAAUCGGAUUUACUGGGCGUAAAGCGUGCGUAGGCGGCUUUUUAAGUCGGAUGUGAAAUCCCUGAGCUUAACUUAGGAAUUGCAUUCGAUACUGGGAAGCUAGAGUAUGGGAGAGGAUGGUAGAAUUCCAGGUGUAGCGGUGAAAUGCGUAGAGAUCUGGAGGAAUACCGAUGGCGAAGACAGCCAUCUGGCCUAAUACUGACGCUGAGGUACGAAAGCAUGGGGAGCAAACAGGAUUAGAUACCCCGGUAGUCCCUGUCUCUUAUAA